rnacentral:rRNA from 1 species
AUUGAACGCUGGCGGCAGGCCUAACACAUGCAAGUCGAACGAGUGGCGGACGGGUGAGUCAUGUCUGGGCAACUGCCCGGUGGAGGGGGAUAACUACUGGAAACGGUAGCUAAUACCGCAUCCCUUCGGAUGUGCCCAGAUUGGAUUAGCGUGUAGGUGGGGUAAAGGCUCACCUAGGCGACGAUCCCUAGCUGGUCUGAGAGGAUGACCAGCCACACUGGAACUGAGACACGGUCCAGACUCCUACGGGAGGCAGCAGUGGGGAAUAUUGCACAAUGGGCGCAAGCCUGAUACAGCCAUGCCGCGUGUAUGAAGAAGUCCUUCGGGUUGUAAAGUACUUUCAGCGGGGAGGCGUUACCCGCAGAAGAAGCACCGGCUAACUCCGUGCCAGCAGCCGCGGUAAUUC